rnacentral:rRNA from 1 species
GACGAACGCUGGCGGCGUGCCUAAUACAUGCAAGUAGAACGCUGAAGAGAGGAGCUUGCUCUUCUUGGAUGAGUUGCGGACGGGUGAGUAACGCGUAGGUAACCUGCCUGGUAGCGGGGGAUAACUAUUGGAAACGAUAGCUAAUACCGCAUAAAAUUGAUUAUUGCAUGAUAAUUAAUUGAAAGAUGCAAUUGCAUCACUACCAGAUGGACCUGCGUUGUAUUAGCUAGUUGGUGAGGUAACGGCUCACCAAGGCGACGAUACAUAGCCGACCUGAGAGGGUGAUCGGCCACACUGGGACUGAGACACGGCCCAGACUCCUACGGGAGGCAGCAGUAGGGAAUCUUCGGCAAUGGGGGGAACCCUGACCGAGCAACGCCGCGUGAGUGAAGAAGGUUUUCGGAUCGUAAAGCUCUGUUGUAAGAGAAGAACGGGUGUGAGAGUGGAAAGUUCACACUGUGACGGUAUCUUACCAGAAAGGGACGGCUAACUACGUGC